CCAGGUGCUGUUGUGCAGCAGUUUUCUUCCCUUUUCUAAAUAUGUUUUCCAGAGACCCAACCAGAAUUGUUCACUGGCUUAGCUUUGGCUAGUGGCAGGUCUCUUUUGAAAACCACCUGGAACUCACUCUUAUCUGACAUGAGGCAGCUUCUGGGCUCUGCCCCCAGAUCCAACCCCUGCAUCCCCUGCACUACCAUAACACUACCAUGUAAACGCAAUACAGGUUCCAACCAAAACAGAUGCUGUUAUAAUUUGAAGAACUAGAGAUGGCCAAAUGAGGCUGUGUGGUUGUGAAAAGUCCUUCAUCUUCACAUCAGUAAAAUGUUCAAGCCUUUGGGGUUCCAGCCAGGGUGAUUUCUGCAUGGCCAGCACCCUAAAAGCUGUUUUCUUUGACUGUUACCGAUACAGCAAAUGAAUAGCAAAAUAUCUAUUGAGAACCCACUCCCUGUGUCCAUAAACUGAAACAAUAUGGGAUUGCUGAUGCUUGAAUUAAU